AUUGGACAAUGGGCGCAAGCCUGAUCCAGCCAUGCCGCGUGGGUGAUGAAGGCCCUAGGGUUGUAAAGCCCUUUCGGCGGGGAAGAUAAUGACGGUACCCGCAGAAGAAGCCCCGGCUAACUUCGUGCCAGCAGCCGCGGUAAUACGAAGGGGGCUAGCGUUGCUCGGAAUUACUGGGCGUAAAGCGCACGUAGGCGGCUUGUUAAGUCGGGGGUGAAAUCCUGGAGCUCAACUCCAGAACUGCCUUCGAUACUGACAAGCUCGAGUUCGGGAGAGGUGAGUGGAACUGCGAGUGUAGAGGUGAAAUUCGUAGAUAUUCGCAAGAACACCAGUGGCGAAGGCGGCUCACUGGCCCGAUACUGACGCUGAGGCACGAAAGCGUGGGGAUCAAACAGG
rnacentral:rRNA from 1 species